rnacentral:rRNA from 1 species
UACGUAGGGGGCUAGCGUUGUCCGGAAUCAUUGGGCGUAAAGCGCGCGUAGGCGGCUCGGUAAGUCCGCUGUAAAAGUCAAAGGCUCAACCUUUGAAUGUCAGUGGAUACUGCCGGGCUAGAGUCCGGAAGAGGAGAGUGGAAUUCCUGGUGUAGCGGUGAAAUGCGCAGAUAUCAGGAAGAACACCUAUGGCGAAGGCAGCUCUCUGGGACGGUACUGACGCUGAGACGCGAAAGCGUGGGGAGCGAACAGGG